GACCCUGGUCUGUGCACGCCUAGGGCCCAUCACCCCGUCGGCACAACCACAGGCUGUUCACUGAGCUCCCGGCCCCCAGCCCUGUGCCCUCCAGCCACGCCCACCGAGCACCCUAUCUCCCCGGGGGGGCGGUGGCCUCCUGGCUGGACGCCCGGGGAGGUCCUCCUGUCUCCCGUCUGCAGCCCCUGCAGUGGACCCCGGCACAGAGCAAACAAGGUCUGCAGUAUUUCAUAAUUGCUGAGAUGAAGAACCCCUAUUUUCCAAGAUGUUCAGGAAUAACUCAGGUUUAAAGACCACGUCCUAACAACUGGAAUGGGCCGAUUAUUCCAGGGGAAUCCACCAAGGAGCGUUGCCACACGAGGUGCAUCAGGCACAUUUCCUUCUGCUCCUGCAGAGUCUCCUCCAGCAGGCCGGUCCCCUUUGCUGGUUUCCAUACCUCCCAUGACCUCCAGUUGCUGGGCAGCAAGGACAGCACACUGGAGUCUGCACUCCGCUGAGUAAAAGGGUACCAGGGGCUCCUGGGCGCAGGUAUGCAGCCUGGACACUAAAAGCUGAGCCCCGACAGGGGAGCCUGUCGUUGGGGAACGUGAGUGCAGGGUAGGCGCGGAUGUGAUCCUUGGGCUGUUGAGGAGAAGGGGCUUGGGCGGCAACCCGCCCAGGGGCAUGUGGACAGUCCACCAUCACGCAGGGACCUGCCCACCCCUGCCUGUAAGGCCCACAGUGACCAGGAGCUCCACUGCGCAGGUGUCUUCCCCUUUUCCAGACCAUGCUUCCAAAUAGCACCCAGGAACUUGCUAGAAAUGCAGACUCUGGGGCCACCCUGGACUGCUGAUCCUGGGGCUCGGAGGAUGGGCCUGGGGUCUGUUCCCGCUGUCCGGGGAAUGCCGACGAAUGAU